CCUGAGAAACCUCAANAUUCGAAAAGAGAGAUUCAACGUCAGUAUGUAUUGUAUUCACGUGAGUAGUGAUGUGAGUUUUUUAGUAAAAGGGUCAAACUUUUUAUUAAUACUUGCACAUUUUCAUGUUAUUUUAUUGCAAUACUAUUGCCGGCGUGCACUUCUCUCUUAGUAGGACGUCCCGACCCGUUGAGUCUUGGCCUACGGCACAGAUGGGAGACUUUAAUAUUUCGGUAUUAAAGACCUCUGAUGUUACUCCUGGCUAAAGUACUCGACGGUAGUUAAUUGAUAUGGCGUUGAGCCGCAUUUUCGAAUGCGUCCGGCCAGUCGCAAGUUUUUGAUAUAUUCCGUAUUACUAUAGACUAAGUGCUAUGUAUAUGGUUAUGUCGCUUUGCAUGACUGUGCUUUAGGACUGGCUUAUUUCGUCUGUCAGGGACGCUUAGGCUUUGGUA
rnacentral:rRNA from 1 species